AUCAAUACUAGUAUGAUUUCUUAUGAGAAAUCUUUACUGUUAUUUUAUUCUCCUCUUCAAUAUUUAUCUCUCUUUUUCCUCUCUAACUUAAUUGAGCUCCCUGUUUCUCUCAUUUCUUUGGUCAGCUCACAUACAGCCUGCUAUUCUUACCGUGUUUUGCCCUCUCCAACCCGAACUUGAAGUAGCCCCUUUUUAUGUCCCUAAAAAUUUGUCUUUUCAAUGUUAAAUACAGUGUGUCAUUGAAACACUGAAUCAGUUAUGAUACUCUUGGAUGAAGUAAAAUGUUUUUAAAAUUCUCCAGAUAUUUUAAAAUUGUUCAUAGUCAAGUAUUAGGAACUAUAUACUCAAUUUGUAGCAAAUGUCUUAGAAAUUUUUUUAAAGAUUUAUUUAUUAUUACAUCUAAGUACACUGUAGCUGUCUUCAGACGCACCAGAAGAGGAAGUCAGAUUUCAUUACGGAUGGUUGUGAGCCACCAUGUGGUUGCUGAGAUUUGAACUCAGGACCUUCAGAAGAGCAGUCAGUGCUCUUAACCACUGAGCCAUCUCGCCAGCCCUGUCUUAGAAAUUUUAUUCUCAAUAUUUUUUUCUUUGUUCAAAUACAUUCGAAAACUGCUUGCCUGGCUCCCUACUCUUGGUGUGUGGUAGUGUUUGGGAGUUGUGGUCGGGGAUGGGAGUUGUAGAAUGUGCAAGUGUGUUCGCUUGUGUGUCUGUGUUUAUUUGCUUGUGUUUAGAACUUGUGUUGCAGUUACGAUCUUAAUCUUAUAUAUGAUGCUUUACAACUGUGUCUGUUCUGUCUCAAGAUCCUAGUAUAUGGCUAUGUUGUGUAAGCACGUGAUAGUAAUAGGCAGUGGUAUGUAUAAUCAGAUGAUCACAGGCGGAUGUUCAGCUGGGACUCCCGAAAUCACACCCUCUCUGUAUUUAGAAUCACUGUGUGCACUCAUUAUAAAUUGAGCCUGGAAUGAUUGGGAAAUGAUCAUCUUAAGAACAUAUUACUUAAAGGUCUAAUUCAUAGCAUGAGUAAUUUUGCGCCUUAGUUUUGUAGUUUGGCCCUAAGAGAACCUGCUGUGUUUUCUGAAGGUUCACAGUUACCCAGAUGUGAAAACAGAAUGACGAUAGAUCUCCUAAAAUAAAGGGAAUAAGUAAAAAAAGAAAAAUUGGCAUAUAUAUUACUAAUAAGCAUGACAAGACCAGGAAGCCAAGUAAUAAGGAACAGAAAUCAUUUAUAAAAGUCAUAUAUCUGUGUUAAAAUUCAAAUGUUAUCUUUAACAUUCACACUAACUUCUCUGAAUGUGAUCUAAUCACACAUAAAAUGGGAAUGUAGAAAUGGACAUAUUUUUACCUUACAAUUGGUGGGUCUUUAACAGUUAUGGAUAUCAUAGGAAAUUUAAAUACUUGAUCCAAUUUUCCUUUUGUUAAUGGAAUUUGUAUCUCAAAAAUUUCAAAAGUAAAAUUAGAGAAUCCAGAAGUUGCUUGAUAUAUUCUGAUCUGAUUGUUAAUGUUCAGAACAAUUAAAAAAAAAGUUAAUAAGUUUAAUCAGAUGUCCUGCUCACAGGCUGAAAGGUAAAGUCACUUGCCACCAAGCCUGGCGAUUUGAGUUCAACCUUGGAGCUCACUUGGUGGAAGAAAAGAAGGGAUUCCUCCAAAUGGUCCUCGACUUCUGUAUGCUAAUUGUGGACUCUUGCACGCUUGAUGAUUUCCGUCAAUGGCAUCAGGAGUCGUGCUUUUACAGACAGGAUACAUGAGGUUCGGAAGUCUAGUCAUACCUGGUUAAGAAUGCUUACAAGGGAAUGUGAAAGGGAGUACCUGAAGCAAGGGCAGCAGAGGAUGCAAGGGUUCAUUCACUCAGAAACAGAAGACAAGAGAUCUCUUAGGCGAAGCAUUGUUAAAACACAUGUGAAAGCAGGGUCCCCUGUGAAGGAGCUAGAGAAGGUACCCAAGGAGCUGAAGGAGCCCCGCAGGAGGAACAACAAUAUGAACUCACAAGUACCCCCAGAGCUCCCUGGGACUAAACCACCAAUCAAAGAAAACACAUGGAGGGACUCAUGGCUCUAGCUGCAUAUGUAGCAGAGGAUGGCCUAGUCGGUCGUUAAUGGGAGGAGAGGACCUUGGUCCUGUGAAGGUUCUAUGCUCCAGUGUAGGGGAAUGCCAGGGCCAGGAAGCAGGAGUUGGUGGGUGGGUGAGCUGGGAGAGUAGGGAGGGUAUAGGGGGUUUUCGGAGGGGAAACCAGGAAAGGGGAUAACAUUGGAAAUGUUAAUAAAGAAAAUAUCUAAUUAAAAACAUAUGUAAAAGAUUUACCUUGGAAAAUAAUUGUAAAGGAUACCACUGCCCAGAACUUACUGGUGUAUUGUUGUCACAUUGGUGUCUUCUACUUAGCAUAUGUCAACUGGCCAGAGUUAUACAGAAGCAGCUGAUCAACAUAAACCACAUAGAUUUGCUAUUCAAGUAAACAUGAUGACCUGAUUUGAAUGAGAGAGCUGUCAUUCUACGUACCAAUUGGAAAAGGAGCACAACAGGGCACAAUGCAGGGACUUUGACUCAGGUGCUGUCAAUCAUAGGUGGAGGAAAAGGGAGAAUGAAAACCUGUCUGUACCACAGUCUGCCUGGGUUACAGGCAGUCAUAGCAGGAAGAAGCUGGUAACAGAAAAUAGAUCUAUCUGGCUAUACACAGACACCACAGAGAGUGGAUAUUCUAAUAGCUCCAUUCUAGGAGUUGUGGACCAGGAUGGUGGUGGCCAUGAUUAUUUGCAUUCUCAUGGCAGUCUGGUAAUGGUAAAUGACCUGAAUCAUCACAAAACAACAGAAACCAGAGACUUGCCCUUGUAUGUGCAAGAUAAAAGUUUAGCUGAAUUACUGCCUCUGCAUGACUCAGAGUCUAUUUUCUGAGUAUAACCAGGUGUAGCUGCUUUCUGUUAGCAGAGACUGAGGGAAUGGCCAACAAAUAACUGGCCCAACUUGAGACCCAUCAUGGGCAAGCACCAAUCCCUGACAGUAUUAAUGAUACUCUGUUACUCUUGCAGACAGGAACAUAUUGUUCUCUGAGAGGCUCUGCCCAGCAGCUGACUCAGAUACAUACACCCACAACCAAAGAGUGGAUGGAGCUUGGAGACCCUUAUGGAAAAAUAGGAGGAAGGAUUGCAGGCCCCAAAGGGGAUAGGAACUCCAUAGGAAGAUAAGGAGAGUCAACUAGCCUGGACCCUUUUGGGGGUUCUCAGAGUCUGAACAACCAACCAAAGAACAUACACGGGCUGGACCUAGGCUUCCCUGCACAUAUGUAGCAGCUCGUCCUGAACAAUUGGAAAGGGGGCCCUCCCCAAAACUGUCACCUGUAUGUGGGUUAUGUUCUUGAUGGGCUGCCUUGUUUGGCCUCAAUGGAACAGGAUGUACCUACACAGAGAUUUGAAGUGCCAGGGUGGGGAGAUACCCAGGGGGCCCCCACCUACUCAGAGGAGAAGGGAAUCGAGGGAUGGAGGUAAGGAUUGUGGGAUGGGGAGAUGAGGAUGUGACUUGAAUAAGUAAAAUAAAUAAAUAAAUAAAAAAUAAAAGCUGAAAAGAAAACAAACAAAAAAACCCAGUCUAUUUCUCUCCAUGAGCUGUGGAAUUCAUAUCUCAAAGACUUACAAAAAAACUAAUAAGAAUUUAUAUUGAGCUACAAAAGACCACAAAUAGCCAAGACAAUCAUAGUUGUAAAAAUAUUGCAUAAAUAUUACAAUACCCAAUCUCAAAUUUUACAUAAGAUGUAAUGAUAAAGACCGCCUGGUACUGUACUAACAAAAUCGACAGAUGAACCAAGAGAAUAGGAAAGAGGAUCCCAAAGCCGAACAAGAAAAUCACGAUCCCUUAAAUUGCUACAAAGAAGACAAAGACAUGCAUUGGAAGAAAGACUAAUGGUUCUGUCCAUGCAGAAGGAUGAAACUAGAUAAUACCUUUCACUUUAUACAAAAUAAACUUUAAUUGUAAAACUUAUCAGAGGUGUUGAAGACUACCUUCAUUAUAUCUGAGUUGAGAUCAUGAAGUCAUGGGAAGACACAGAUAUUACACAAUCCAUCCAGGGUAGUGACACUUAGCAUGACAUAUAUCUUUGUGGAACACACCACUGAGGAAGAGCUGAUGAGAAGUGUUAUGGAGUUUGUUUGAGUGUCUGCAGCAAUGCUAGUCCUAAUAAACACUGUUUUCUGGUAAUUUUUUUAAUUAGGUAUUUAUUUCAUUUACAUUUCCAAUGCUAUCCCAAAAGUCCCCCACACGCUCCCCCACUGACUCCCCCACCCACCCACUCCCACUUCUUGGCCCUGGCGUUCCCCUGUACUGAGGCAUAUAAAGUUUGCACGACCAAUGGGCCUCUCUUUUCACUGAUGGGCGACUAGGCCAUCUUCUGAUAUAUAUGCAGCUAGAGACACAAGCUCCGGGGGGGUACAUAUUGUUGUUUCACCUAUAGGGUUGCAGAUCCCUUUAGCUCCUUGGUUACUUUCUCUAGCUCCUCCAUUGGGGGUCCUGUGAUCCAUCCAAUAGCUGACUGUGAGCAUCCACUUCUGUGUUUGCUAGGCCCUGGCCUAGUCUCACAAGAGACAGCUAUAUCAGGGUCCAUUCAGCAAAGUCUUGCUAGUGUAUGCAAUGGUGUCAUCGUUUUUAGGCUGAUUAUGGGAUGGAUCCCUGGAUAUGGCAGUCUCUAGAUGGUCCAUCCUCUUGUCUCAGCUCCCUAUUUGAUAUUCUUAAAGGGAGUACUGGUCUUAUCUUCCCUUGAACUUUAACAUUGGAUGGAUUAUUGAUUUCACAAAGAGUAGAAUGAGCUAUUAAAAACAAUUUGUUACUUAUAUAAAUUAUUCUUUGCCUUUAUAUCUGCUGAUUUUUAUAAUGACUCAUACACCUACAGAAUUAUUGUGGCAAAAAGCUCCUCUUACUUGGAUAUUAUGACGCAGUGGCUCAUAUGAUAAUACUUCGAAGAAAACAGACACUGGUUUAUUUUGACAAAGAACCAGACAUCAUUAUUCAGCCUGUUAAUGUGGACCAAAAUAUUUGGCUAAAACAGCAUAGUACAGAUUUGUUGCUUGCUCAAAUAGGAUUUAAAGGCAUUAUAGACAAUCAUUACCCUCUAUAUAGGUUGAUAAAAAUUUUAAAUGUACAUAAGGUUUUAUUUUCUAGUAUGACAUCUUUACAGCCUCUACAUAAUGUUCUUUUAAUUUUUACUGAAGGCUCCUCUAAAGUACGUGCAGGAUAUAUCAUAACUAAUCAAGAGGUAGUCAUAGAGACUGCUGGGCUCUCUGCUCAGCUUAACAGCAGUACUAUAUGUUUUUCAGUCUCUAAAUGGUGGCCUGACCUUCAUUUUGAUCUCUUUCAAUUCAUAGCAGGCCUAGUUUCUUAGGACAUACCUAACCAAUUACCCCAUAGGGGUCUACCUGAUUGUGAUGGAAAAGAGUCCUGCUCCCCAAAGUCUUGCCCAAAUGGAGGUUUAGAUGGAAAUUUGAGAUGUGGACAUUUGGUGCUUAGAGUCAAUCUAUGCACUUAUCUUUUUUAUGUAUGUCCCCCUGGAUGGAAGGACUAGAUCCCAGGCUCAUAAUUCUGGAGGUGCAGAGGAUUUUUCUGUCCUGCCUGGGGAUGUGAGACCACAGGAAAAGUUUAUUGGAAGGCCCAAGAAGAUUUAAUUAUAGUAGCAAGGAAUUGAACAGGAUCUGGCCUGUCUAGUUCUAGUUAUAAAGGUACUGACCAUUAUUAUUGUUAUAGCCUUAGUUGUGCCUCAGUUUUAUUGUCUGGGUCCUGGACAGGAGUAGGAUCUUGCAUCAUCUCUUCUUGUAAUCUCACUAUAGUGAAAUUCACUGAGUCUGGCAAAAAGGUUAGAGAAGACUGGCUUAAAGGAAGGACUUGGAGACUUAGAUUAUCUAAAACCGGUUAUGAUGAUGGAUUAUUCUUUACCAUUAAGAUUAAAACUGAACCUAUCUGUUUUUCAUUAGGACCUAAUAAGAUCAUAUAAAUAAGCCUUAAAAGAGGAAUGAUAAAGAUAAAAAGAAUACUGCUGAUAAUAGGAAUACUGCUUCCCCAUUUUCUUCUCCAGUGUCUGGUAUCCCUCGUAGUUGUAUAGUUGCCACUACUACCUUUCCUACAUUUGCGACUCCCCUUACAGAAUUAAUUGUGGGCAUGUUUCAUGUGCUUAAUGAUACUUAUCCUAAUGUCACUCACUCAUAUUGAUUUUGCUAUGAUAUAGCCCCUCCUUUUUAAGAAGGUAAUGCUUUAUUAUCCAGCAAUGUUUCUUACUCUAAUAGCUUUUCUGAUUGUUGAUGGAAUCAGAAAUCUGGCAUAGGUCUUUUCUCUACAUGUUUCUGGACUAGGUACCUGCAUAGUGAAAAUUCAUAAAGGUAAAAGAGAGCUUAUGCAAUCAAAUGCUUACUGUUUCUACCUCUUCAUUCUAUUUUAUUCCUCCAAAGGCGGGAUGGUGGGUUUAUUCCACAGGUCGUAACCCCUGCAUUCACAUACAAGCGUUUGAAAGCUCCAAAGACUUUUGUGUGUUGGAUCAACUUACUCCUAGGCUCACUUAUCAUUCUUAUGACAAGGUCUUGGAUCACUGGGAUGGAGGCUUCUCUCACCCGAGAGAGAGCUUGCUACAGCAUUAACUAUUUCAGUACUACUGGGCCUCAGUGUGGGAGGAACAGCUACUGGUGCUUCUGCCCUAGUUUUGUAAGGAAAAAGCCAUGCACUUAUUAGAACUGCAAUAGAUACAGCUAUAGAAAAGACAGGAUAGACACUUCUAUUUCCCAUUUGCAAGAGAAUCUAAUCUCCUUCUCUGAAGUUCUCCUUCCAAACACUAGAGGAUUUGAUAUUUUAUUCCUUCAAUAGGGAGGACUAUGUGCAGACCUCCAUGAAGCAUGUUGCUUUUACAUCGAUCAUUCAGGAGUAGUAAAGGAUUCUAUGGCUAAAGUUUGAGAAGGUCUGGCCAAAAGGAAAAUUAAAAAAGAACAGAAUCAGGAAUGGUUUGAAUCCUGGUUCUCCACUUCCCCAUGGCUUACAACUUUCAUUUCUACACUGCUUGGACAAUUUAUUAUAAUUUAUUUUGAUGCUUUUAACUUUUGGAUCUUGUAUUUUAAACAGAUCAGAUGCCUUGAUACAGGAUUGCUUUCAGCAAGCUCAGCUAUUCACCAUGGCAGUUAUUAAUCACUAUGAAGAAAUGCAUUUACUGUAUAAGCAGCUCUGAAAUGUCAUUCAUGGAUCUGGUCUUAUUUGAAAAGAGUGCUAUAGAAGACCAGUUAGCCAGAGACAGGAAGACAAUUAAGAGUGUUCUUGAGCUCCUAUUGACCUAAGGCAGAGACAUACAUCAAUGCUAUGUUGGCUCUACAUGAUAGGUAAGGAGCAAUAUAGACACUAACCUAACUAGAACUAAGCAGGUCAGGAAGCAAGAGCUGAUGAAGAGGCUAUGGAGGGAUGUUACUUAUUGGCCUGCUUCCUCUGGCUUUCUCAGCUUGCUUUCUUAUAGAACCCAAUAUUACUAGCCCAGAGAUGGUACCACCCACAAGGGGCCCUCCCCUUUUCAUCACUAAUUAAGAAAUUGCCCCACAGCUGGAUCUCAUGGAGCCACUUCCCCAACUGAAGCUCCUUUCUCUUUGAUAACUCCAGCUUGUGUCAAAUUGACACACAAAAUCAGCCAGUACAACUGAUCCCUUGUCAACUUGAAACACAAACACAUCACUAUUAAGCCUCAACCUUUACUUUCUUAUUCAUCCUCAAGAUAUAAAUAACUUUAAAAGUCCUACAGUCUUUACAUAUUAAAAAGAACAAUCCCUUAAAAAUAUCCAAUAUCUUUUAAAAUUCAAAGUCUUAAAAAUUCCAAGUCUCUUAACUAUGGGUUCCACUGAAAUACCUUCUUCCUUCAAGAGGAAAAAAUAUCAGGGCACAGUCACUAUAAAAAAUAAAAUCAAACUCCAACCAUCCAGUGUCUGAGAUGCACUCAGAAUCUUCUAGGCUCCUCCAAGGGCUUGGGUCACAUCUCCAGUUCUGACCUUUGUAGCACACACCUUGUCUUUUAGGUUCCAGCUGCCUGUACUCCAAUGCUGCUGCUGUUCUUGGUGGUCAUCUCAUGGUAUUGGCAUCUCCAAAACACUGUUGUCUUCAGCUGCAACUAGGCUUUACCAAAAGCCUCUUAUAGGAGCUCUUCACGGUUCCAAGAUUCAACUCCUUUGCAUGACCCUUCAGUUCUGGGCCAUCAAUUGCAACUGAGGCUGCACCUACACCAAUGGCCUUCCAUGGCCUCACAGUGCUGAGUCUCAGCUGCUCUUCAUGACCCCUUCAAAACCUAUUACCACCUGAGUGAUUCUUACACAUUACCAUGUCCAGCUGCAGCAGUAGGUAGAACAACCUUGGCUCUAUCUGGAACACAGCCUCUUUGUGCUCUGCGAAAACACUUUCCAGAAGUUUUUACCUCAAUGAUGCUGGUCUCUUCCUAAUCAUCACUAAUUUCUUGGCUGAAGCUAACCAGCAUCAAUAGUCCCAGUAAUGUAAAGUUUUCAAUUUAGUAGUUCUGGUAUCUUGUUUAUCACAGCUGAUUCUUCAGUCCCAGAUAACCAGAACCACAGAAUCUUCACAAUCAAAACAGCAACAAUCCAUAAGAGACUUUAAUCUUCCCUCAGUAAUUUCACAAGCCAGGUCCCCAUCUUCUGCACUGUUCUCAAGGUUAUCUUCCAAGCUCCCACAGAACUUUCCACAGAGUUCUUAGCAUCCCAAUGGCUCUUCUAGUGCAAAGUUCCAAAGUCCUUCUACACUCCUUCCCCAAAUAUGGUCAGGUUGUCAUAGGAAUGCCCCACUAUGCUGGUACCAACAAUGUCUUGGUCAGGAUUUCUAUUCCUGCACAAAACAUCGUGACUAAGAAGCAAGUUGGGGAGGAAAGGGUUUAUUCAGCUUACACUUCCAUGAUGCUGUUCAUCACCAAAGGAAGUCAGGACUAGAACUAAGCAGGUCAGGAAGCAGGAGCUGAUGCAGAGGCUGUGGAGGGAUGUUCUUUAUUGGCUUGCUUCACCUGGUUUGCCUGGCUUGCUCUUAUAGAACCCAAGACUACUAGAACCAGGGAUAGCACCACCCACAAUGGGCCCUCCCCACUUGAUCACUAAUUGAUGAAAUGCCCCACAGCUGGAUCUCAUGGAGGCAUUUCCUCAUCUGAGGCUCCUUUCUUUGUGAUAACUCCACCUUGUGUCCAGUUGACACACAAAACCAGGCAGUACACCUGGCAACAGACAACCAAGAAAUGCCUCAAAGUCACAUCACACAACAAACCUAACACAAGAGAUAUAUUGGGAGGGACAACCCCAGGAAGGUGGAUGCCUGACUAGAAGCAGAAGAGAACUGGGCAGAACCAGAUGUAGAAGAUCCAGGCUUUAAAGUAUGUGCCUACUUUCAACCACUUGAGGAUCUGCAAUAAACCUGGAAGGUAUAAUAAGAGCAGAGCUCAGCACAGCUGUGUAUAUUUACUUUAUUUUGUUGUUGCUGUGAGCAAACAGCUGGCAAGAAACAAAGAAAUAUGACAUGCCUGUCAUCCUAAGAGCAGGGAGCGAGGAGAAGAUCAGACAUUCAAGGUCAUCCUUAGCUACAGUACAAACCAAAAGUAAAUGAAGACAGGAAAGAAUGAAAAAGAAAGGAAGAAAAAAAAAGAAAGAAAGAGAGGAAGGAAGAAAAAGAAAGAAAGAGAGGAAGGAAGAAAGAAGGAAGGAAGAAGAGAGAAUGGAAGUAAAAAAUGGCAACAGGUAAUGAUGGAGGAAAUACAGAAAAGAUGAAAAGAGGAAGGAAACAAAGAUGUUAAAAUGUUCAUAUGUUACCAGUGAAUAUUGAUGAUGUGCUUCCUUUAACUUUAGUUCCUUUUUUUUUUUUCUUUUAAUUCAGCCAGGGACCUAAUCCCAUGUAGGGCAACACCCAAGAUUGUGGUGUGCCUUCCCUUAACUCUCUAGAACUCCCCUCAGUUAGCUGUUUGGACAUUCCCUAAGUCUCUGCUCCACCUCCUUUGCCUGCAUUUCUUGUAGACAGGAUUUUAGGGUUGAAACUUUUGAGGGUGGGUUGGUGUCUCUAUUGCUCCACUGGGGUUCCUGCCUGGCUACAGGAGAUGGCCUCUCCAGGUUCCAUACCCCAAUUUCGGGACUCACAGCUAGGGUAACCCCCACUGAUUCUUGGGUACCUCCUUUAUCCCAGUGUUUUUUUUUUUUCCUUUUCCUGUAGAUUUCCCCUUCCUUCUCUCCCAUAAGUUGCAGAUUUCCGUUCAUAUUUGUGACCAUCUAGCCAUCUCUCCUGUUCUCUCCACACCUGAUGUUGAAGCCGCCAUUCCAUCCCAUCUCCCUCCCUCCAUCUGCUGCUUAUGACUAUUUUGGUUGAGCCAGGUUAACCUCUUUUAUAAGCUGCUUUAGACAUAGUGUUUCACUACAGAAACAUAAAAAGCACUUUUGUAAAUAUAUAUAUUGCAAGACACAUAGCAACCUUCAAUACCUACUCAAAAUCUUUCAAAAUAAAAAUCGUUAUACCUGGAUGAGCUAUUUCAUAUAAUUGUCAAGGAAUAUGAUUAUAAGUGCAAACAAAAUAAACAAGGAUUACUGUGUUUGCAAGUGCAGACAAAAGAAAGAGGCACAUCACAUCAUAAUGCUUGAAUGGGUUGUUGGCACUUGUCACAUUUUUUUUUGUCUAAGCUUGUGAAACUGAAUGUUAGUGUGACAGCUAUACAUAUCCCAAAUCCGUUAUAGUCAUAGAGUUUCUCUCCAGCAGAAAUACUUUCAUGAUGAUGAAGAUGGCAGAAAUGUUCAAAUGUUUGACCAUAUUAAAUAUAUUCAAGUUUUGCCCCUGUGAGGAGCCGCCCUCACAUUCGCCAUUACAAGAUGGUGCCGACAUCCUGUGUUCUAAGUAGUAAACAAAAAAUCUGCGCAUGUGCUGGGGUAGUUUUCCACUCCAUGUGCUCUGCCUUCCCCGUGAUGACAACUGGGUCGAUGGGCUGCAGCCAAUCAGGGAGCGACACGUCCGAGGUGGAGGACAAUCCUCCAUAAAAGGGACAGGGUUUUGCCAUUCGCUCCUCUUCUCCUCUUGCUCCUGAAGAAGUAAGCAAUAAAGCUUUUGCCACAAAGAUUCCGGUUGUCCUGAGCGUGUUCUUGCCGGUAGGGACAAAAGCUCGGGAUAUGCCCCAGUAUGAAUUAUUUCAUGAUGACUAAGGCUUGUAAAAUGUGAAAAGGCUUGAUCUGAUGUAGUGUACAUUCAUACUUUCCCUCCAGUAUGGAUUUCUUACAUAAAGAUGAAGACGACAGAAAUGUACAAAGGCUUCACCAUAUUAAAUAUAUUCACAGAGUUUCUCUACAAUAAUGUUUCUUUAGUGCUCUGAAGAUGUCUGACAUGCCAAGACUAGAUCACAUUGAUUACAGUCAUAGGGUUUCUCUCCUGUAUGUGUUGUGUUCUUUUAUGAUAUUGCAGACCACUUUGACACCCAAAGGCUUUACCACACUGCUUACAUUCGUAGGGCUUCUCUCCAGUAUGUGUUCUUUUAUGCACUUGGAGAUUACUGUGAUUUGCAAAGGCUUUGCCACAUUGCUUGCAUCCAUAGGCUUUCUGUCCAGUAUGUAUUCUUUUAUGUUUUAGGAGAAGAGUGUUUCGAGCAAAGGCUUUAUCACAUUGGUCACAUUGCUUGCAUCCAUAGGGUUUCUGCCCAGUAUGUAUUCUUUUAUGUUUUAGGAGAAGAGUGUUUCGAGCAAAGGCUUUAUCACAUUGGUCACAUUCAAAGGGUUUCUCUCCAGUAUGUAUCCUUUUAUGUAUUUGAAGAUAACUGUGAAGUACAAACGCUUUACCACAUUCACUACAUUCAUAUGGCUUCUCACCAGUGUGUGAUCGUUUAUGAUUCAGGAGACUAGCUUGACAUGCAAAUGCCUUAUCACACUGAUUACAUUCAUAGGGUUUCUCUCCAGUAUGUGUUCGUUUAUGCUUUUGCAGACCACUUUGAAACCCAAAGGCUUUACCACACUGCUUACAUUCAUAGGGUUUCUCUCCAGUGUGCGUUUUUUUAUGCACUUGGAGAUUACUAUUACUUGCAAAGGCUUUGCCACAUUGCUCACAUUCAUAGGGUUUCUCUCCAGUAUGUGUUCUUUUAUGUGUUAGGAGAUGACUGUUUUGUGCAAAUGCCUUAUCACACUGGUCACAUCCAAAGGGUUUCUCUCCAGUAUGUGUUCUUUUAUGUAUCUGAAGAUAACUUUGAAGUACAAAGGCUUUGCCACAUUCAUUACAGACAUAGAGUUUCUCUCCAGAAUGUGUUCUUUUAUGAUACAGGAGACUAGUUUGACAUGCAAAGGCUUUAUCACAUUGAUUACAUUCAUAGGGUUUCUCUCCAGUAUGUGUUCUUUUAUGUCGUACAAAAUGGUUGCUUUGUGCAAAGAAUUUACCACAUUGAUUACAUUUAUAGGGUUUCUCUACAGUAUGAAUUCUUUGAUGCCUUCGAAGAUGACAGCGAAGAGCAAAGGCUUUAUCACACUGGUUACAUUCAUAGGAUUUCUCUCCAGUAUGUGUUCUUUUAUGCUGUUGCAGAUCACUUUGACAUGCAAAGGCUUUACCACAUCGUUUACAUUCAUAAGAUUUCUCUCCAUGAUGUGUUUUUUUAUGCUGUUGGAGACCACUCUGACAUGCAAAGGAUUUACCACAUUGCUUACAUUCAUAGGGUUUCUCUCCAGUAUGUGUUCUUUUAUGUAAUUGGAGACUGCUGUUUUGUGAAAAGGCUUUACCACAUUGGUUACAUUCAUAGGGUUUCUCUCCAGUAUGAAUUCUUUCAUGCCUUUCAAGAUGACUGUGAUGUAUAAAGGUUUUAUCACAGAAUAUACAUUCAUAAGGUUUCUCUCCAGUAUGCGUUCUUUGAUAUAUUUGGAGAUUAGUAUAACAUGCAAAGUCUUUUCCACUUUGCUUACAUUUAACAGUAUGCAUUCUUUCAUGCUGUUGAAGAUGACUGUGUUGUGCAAAGUCAGUACCACAUUGAUUACAUUCAUAAAGUUUCUCACCUGUAUGAACUCUUUUAUACCUUUGAAGAGAAUUGUGACAUGCAAAGGCUUUACCACAUUCAUUAAUCUUAUAGUGUUUGUCUCCACCAUGUGUUCUUUUAUGUAUUUGGAGACUACUGUGAUAUGCAAAUGCCUCAAGAUAUUGAAUAACUUCAUAGGGUUUCUCUCCAGUAUGAAUUUGUUGAUGCCCCUGAGGAUGGCUCUGAUACGCAAAGACUUUACCACAUUGAGUAAAUUCAGAGGGUUUCUCUUCAAUAUGACUUUUUUCAUGCCUGCAAAGAUAAUUGGUACAUGUGAAAUCUUCUCACAUUCAUUACACAUGAGUCUUUUUAUCUGUGUAAAUUAAUUUUAAAAUUUGGUCAAAUUAUAAAGAGCAAUCUGAUAUUAAGGUAUUAUAAG
rnacentral:lncRNA from 1 species